CCGUAAACGCUGAGUACUAAGUGUUGGACGAGAAGUUCAGUGCUGUAGUUAACGCAAUAAGUACUCCGCCUGAGUAGUACGUUCGCAAGAAUGAAACUCAAAGGAAUUGACGGGGGCCCGCACAAGCGGUGGAGCAUGUGGUUUAAUUCGAAGCAACGCGAAGAACCUUACCAGGUCUUGACAUACGGAUAAAGGCCCCAGAGAUGGGGAGAUAGUUAUAUCCGAUACAGGUGGUGCAUGGUUGUCGUCAGCUCGUGUCGUGAGAUGUUGGGUUAAGUCCCGCAACGAGCGCAACCCUUGUCGUUAGUUACCAUCAUUAAGUUGGGGACUCUAGCGAGACAGCCAGUGACAAACUGGAGGAAGGCGGGGAUGACGUCAAAUCAUCAUGCCCCUUAUGACCUGGGCUACACACGUGCUACAAUGGACGGACCAGAGGGAAGCAAACUUGUGAGAGUAAGCAAAACCCAAAAAGCCGUUCUCAGUUCGGAUUGUAGUCUGCAACUCGAGUACAUGAAGAUGGAAUCGCUAGUAAUCGCGAAUCAGAAUGUCGCGGUGAAUACGUUCUCGGGCCUUGUACACACCGCCCGUCACACCACGAGAGUCGAUAACACCCGAAGCCGGUGUCCUAACCCUUUAUAGGGAGGGAGCUGUCUAAGGUGGGAUGGAUGAUUGGGGUGAAGUCGUAACAAGGUAACCGUA
rnacentral:rRNA from 1 species